rnacentral:rRNA from 1 species
UACGUAGGGGGCUAGCGUUGUCCGGAAUCAUUGGGCGUAAAGAGCGCGUAGGCGGCCCGGUAAGUCCGCUGUAAAAGUCAAAGGCUCAAACCUUUGAAGGUCAGUGGAUACUGCCGGGCUAGAGUCCGGAAGAGGCGAGUGGAACUCCUGGUGUAGCGGUGGAAUGCGCAGAUAUCAGGAGGAACACCAAUGGCGAAGGCAGCUCGCUGGGACGGUACUGACGCUGAGGUGCGAAAGCGUGGGGAGCGAACAGGAUAGAUACCCGG